CUCCUCUUCCCUCUCGAUUCCUUCUCUCUCCCGCUAAAUGGAUGGGCACGCUACUGCGCCAGAUUUCUCCCCAGCCGGUUCCUUCGGCCACGCGACCGCGCGCUCGGAAAACUCCACGGACAGCGAAGGAGGUGAACCAAGGACGACGUAUCUGUCGCCGGAGAAGGUAAGCAUCGAUCCGCCGUGUCCUACGAUUCGUUUGUCUUGCUCCAGGCGGCGAGCAGCAGUGGGGGUCGUCCUCGCGGAUCCGCCUUCAAGCUUCGCGGAUCCCACCCAAAAUUAAAAUCCUCUCGGAAAUCAGAGACGCGAAUCCCUCGCCCCAAGCCCCGAAACCUCCGAGUUCUCUCGCCAAUUUGAUCCGCCUCACCGUCGCCGCCCGUCCGCCGGUCGGCCUUGACUGCUCCGUCGCACGUGGCGGUUCGCAGCGCGGAAUCUACCUUGUGCUGACAGAUCCGGGGAAACCCUCGUUCCUGGUCGUUCCGGCUCGAAUCUUCUGCGGACUGGCAAUGUAAGCGUUCUCCAUUGGAGGGCGACGAUCUACGGGGCGGUUGUUGGCGGGGUUGCGGGAAUGGAGCACGUGUUCGGAGGGAAGUUUAAGCCUGGGAAGAAGAUCGGGAGCGGAUCUUUCGGCGAGCUCUAUCUAGGCGUCAACAUACAGAGCAGCGAACAAUAUCAGAUUAUUGCAAAAAUGUGGUACAUCUUUCUUCAGCUGGAUGUCAUCACUCACGAAUGGGUUACCCAUGCUAGAUGGAGCCACUGCUGCCGUUCCACUUGAACAGAAGUUUUCAGCAAGUACAGGAGAUGGAUCUGCAGCACCUUCCCAGCCACUUCAAAACAACCGCAGCGUUCCUAUGCAAUUUUUUGGCUUCAAUUUGCUCUUCCAGUCCCUGUAUACUCGUAAUGUUCUGCAUGUAAUUGCUUUAAAAAAGACUGGCAUGGUCCCGAGCUAUAUUUUUAGCUGAGUAAUAACAAGAUUUUAAAACCUUU